UACGUAGGUGGCAAGCGUUGUCCGGAAUUAUUGGGCGUAAAGCGCGCGCAGGCGGCCUUUUAAGUCUGAUGUGAAAGCCCACGGCUCAACCGUGGAAGGUCAUUGGAAACUGAAAGGCUUGAGUACAGAAGAGGAAAGCGGAAUUCCACGUGUAGCGGUGAAAUGCGUAGAGAUGUGGAGGAACACCAGUGGCGAAGGCGGCUUUCAGGUCUGUAACUGACGCUGAGGCGCGAAAGCGUGGGGAGCAAACAGG
rnacentral:rRNA from 1 species